GCGCGUCCCGUCGCGGGUAGGGCAGUUCAGGGCCGGGCAGCGCGGGAGGCAGCGGGGCGCCAUGUCGCACGGGGCGCGCGUGAUCCGCACCGGGGCCAGCAGCGGGGGGCCGCCGCCGCCGCCCGCCGCCGCCGCCGCCUCCUCCGCCUCGCAGAGCACGGAGCUCACGGACGGCGCCUAUUUCCGCUCCUGCGCCGGCAUGCUGAAGGUGGCCCAGAUGAUCUCACUGCUAGUUGGAUUCAUCAGUGUACAUAAUUCUCAGUGGACUGACUACAGUGCAUACAGCUACUUUCAGAUUGUCACCAUGUGCGACUUGGUUAUGAUUUUGUUCUUCUACAUUGUCCACAUUUUCAGAAUCUACAAGCUGCUCACUUGCAUUAGCUGGCCACUUGCGGAAUUUCUUCAUUAUUUAAUUGGUACAAUUCUGCUUCUCAUUGCAUCAAUUGUAGCAGCAUCCAAGAGUUACAAUUUGACUGGACUUGUGGCUGGAGCGACUUUCGGAUUCCUAGCUACGGUUCUUUGUGUUUUAAGUAUAUGGUCAUCCUACAAAAUUUCAUGCAUCACACAGUCAACAGAUGCAGCUGUAUGACUCUCUUCAUCUCAGCAAGACGUCUGUGCCUUACCCAAUAGGAUACCAAAGAGGAGAAUCCACCACUGAGGAGAGAGCGUACACAUGACUCAUGCUGCAGAAAAAUGUGCUUGUGCUGUCACCUCCUUGUGAAGCCCUGACUCACCCCAGGACUCGCCAACUUCAGAACAACCACAUCUGUUUAUUUUCCUAGUCCUGUUCUAAUAUUCAGCCAAAAGAUAAUAAGUGAUAAGAAACAAACUGAGUGAGUGAUCAGGACAUGCUGGCUGGCCCAAGCAAAUUUCUCUAGUGUGCAAAAAGCCCUGUCUGGCAUUCAUUAAAGCAGUGUUUGCCAAUGUUUUUUUUGUGGACUCUGAUUUUUUCCAGCACGAAUUAUUUGCAUUUUUGCCAAUAGGCUUCUCUCAUUUAGCUUACACAGAGUCCAGGAAGUACACAGGUACUGCCCACUCCUUUCUUCUCCCACCCCUCCUACCCCUGAGCCAUAGACCAUUGCCUGAAAACCACAGCAUGGUACAGACCACAAAAUCUUCAGAACUGCAAUACAGGCUUACAGGUGCAGGUGUCAUCAGGCAGCUGAAGCUUGGAUUUGUAAUAAAAAUGAAUUAAAAACAUCUCUAGCCUAGUUACAAAAUAAAACAGGAAAAAGUAAACUUUACCUAAGCAGUCUGGAAAGGCAAAGUACCUCUUUGAGACAAUAUUGAUCUGAUUGUUAUCAAAACUUCUUCAGGCUACAUUUUGAAAAAUGAGCAUGUGAUUGAAGACAAGACCACUAAAAUACACAGUGCAAUUUACUGCUACAGAAAAGAAGAGGGCAGUGGGGCUCCAACUCCAGCGAGCGUACAGGUUUAGGAGGGACAAGGCUUCGAGGCUGAACCUGUUCAAUUACAGGAUCAUCUUUGCCCUCUUGUGGGCAAACUUCUCUACUGCAGCUUUUGCACAGAUUUACCGGCGUCACACGUGAACAACUGUGCAGCGCGGCAGCGCAAGCAGAACGCAGAACCAUUGCCGGCCUCCCCUGCACUUCCGCUAGCAGGCAAAGACCGGCUCUGCCGCGUUCAAAGGGAAGCCAAAACCAAAACACAGCCAAGGAGUUAUCCUUGCUCGGUCCCUGCGCUACAGGAUGAAGGGGGCUAUAGGAUAAAGCUGCCAGCAAAAGUCCCCCGCAGAGCAAAGGAACACGGAUGCGCGUGCAACAAGCCACGCACAGACGGCAGCGACCAGGUGCUGCCUGUGCACGUGCAAAGGAGAGCAGCGGGCCACAACCUGUAUUUUACCCUGCUACACUAUUCUGUUACUUCAAUACAGAGGUUAAUUUGGAUUACCCUGCUAAGAAAGAAGUUGUCACGAUCAUAGCAAUAACAGGACUGAAACUAUGCUAUGUGAUCAUGAUCCAAAUUAUUAAGUAUCACCUUUCUUAGGACUUCUGAGUUAUUUUCUCAUGCUCUAUAGAUCUACCAUGGAUGUACACUUCUAUUGCAAUAUUUUGCCUUCUUCACUUACAACUGUUUUUUUUAUUUAAUUUAAAACAUUAGAGGCAUUUUUGCCUCAAUUCUUACAACUAUACUUAUCUAUGGCAAAUCCAUUAAGGACAGAAUUUCACCUUUAAUGUUACGAUGCAAAUAAAAAUAUACUGUGUCAUUCCAAUUUCAGGGCAGACAAUGAAAAAAGUGUCAUUUAUACCAUCCAAGAUAAUGGGACCUACCAAUCAAAAGAUCAGCAAGAAAUAAGAAUUAUGAAAUAAAGAAGCUACCCAGCCAGAGAGCAUUUGGGUUUAUUUCCUUCUCUCCGCCCCAGCGAACAAACAUUUUUAAAGGACCCAGUGGCUCGCCCUCAACCAAGUAAAAUCAAAAGAAAUUAUUUGCUCUUGACACCUUUUCAUGGUUUGUGCUCCUUCCUCUAACAAGUCUGCCAUUUUAUUAAUUUUUUUUUCAAUUCUAAUAACCCAGACAAUAGCAAACCAGCACUUGAAUUACACUUGUCACAGUAACUAUAGACCAUGGUAGGCGUAAAGUCUUAUCACAAACUAAUUAGACUGAACUCUGUGGUAUGCAGCAAUACUGACCUUACUGGACCGUUCCUCAUUGAAACGUCCAGGGAGAAAAUCCAGCUUUGCAGAUCUGCAAGUGGGUCCCGAUUCCCUAGUAACAGGCAAAACACAACGCAAGCUCUUUCCUCCACACCAGGAACCCAGAAUGACGUUAUUUCCUGCGUUUUGCUUUUGGAGAACGAUAUAGCGACACCAAAUCAUUAGCAGCAGAGAUGAGAAACACUCCGAGUUAUUUACUAAUAUUUUAUUUAAAAAAUGAUUACAAAGUAUUUUAGAAAGUUCUUACGACCAGAAAGGCAUAAUACAUUAAAAAGACCACAGGUUUAGAAUGGAAAAAUAUUUAAGUAUUUCAGAAUGCUUUUACUGAAAAGUCAAGGCAACAUUGGUUACAUAACUAUAUAAAGUUUUUAUUUCAUAAUAUAUAACCAUUGUAUUUUCAUUCUGAUUCAAUAAUCUUUAAAAGACAUUUAAAGCCUCACAAGUACGAAAGUGACAUUAAAUUUUAUGCUGUUCAGUACUAUCUAGAUAUCUGCUACAUAUUUACAGCAAGGAACUAAAACAAAGAUGAAUUUCCAUCUUAAAGGCACUACCAGCAUCUUGAUUCAUUAUUACAAUUUUACAUAACCUUUUAAGAAUCACACAAAAUAUUUCCCUUCAGUGUAGAAAACUUGGUACUUUCACUGCACGAAUUUGAACAGAACCAGGAUUGCCAUCACGGCUAUUAUGCAAAAACAUCUUGUGCAGAGCUCUGAGAAUUGUGUGAGAUAAUUCACUGCAUUUCUGAGUUGGAAGGUGCAAUGGUAGAACUGAAUUGUAAAGACUACAUACAACCCUCCCCUGCUAUUUUUAAGAACAGAGUACAACCAGUGAGGCACAAUUCCUCUACAUAUUUAAAAUCUAAAGGAUACUGCUACUAUCGUGAUUUCAACGUGGGCUAAACAUAGAAAACAAAAUCGCAUUCAUGAUCUACACAACACAUGUAGAUUUUUCAGAGCAGAAACUCAAGCCAGUCCUUGCACGGCCUGAAGUCUGAAAAGCCCGAAAGUCAGUGCAAUCUUCAAGUAUUUUUCAAAAGACUCAGCAGGAAAAGAAGCCUUUUACUGUGUCUGCACAGGCUCAUACCACCACCAACCACCGUGGUGAAGAAGGGAGAAGGCAAGCCACAGGUAGACUUCCUGUGCCAAAUUGCUUCCUUCCAUGGGUUUUACUGCUGGUUAAGAUUGUGCAUAGGUGUUUACUUGCAAACAAAAGGCGAAAUUUAAGAGAGGGUUGUUCAUUACUGCCCCUCUGCCAGAGCUCCCACCACUCUCUUGAACAAACCCUAAUCCAUUUCAGUCACAGCCAGCCAAGAUAACUUAAGCAAUUUAAAUAGCUGGUUUAAAUAAAGCCAAUUUCAUUGAAAACAGGUAGGGAAACAGGGACUUCUUUGCUGACAGAGCAAGAGAUGUCUAUCCACAUGUGCAGAGCUCCUGUAAAACCAGAUGUUUAAUCCAGCUCCCACUCCACCCUCUGGGAUCAGUCUAAUUAAAAGACAGACAUUCAAAGCCUGGAUCUGACAUCUGAAGCACCAAAGGGGCAUUUCUAGUGGUGGGAGACAACCCUGCUCAGCCGUUGCACUUGCCCGACCUAGCACGUGAGGGCAGAGGAGCUCGGGGGGGCACACACCUGCCCUUUCAUCUUAGGAAGCUGAUAAAGCAGGUAAGGGAACUGCCUCCCGGAAGCAGAGAACAGCACGCGUACCAGGAGACCUGCUCCUCAAGGGUUUUUAAAUGAAAGUCCUCACACUCAUAAGCCUGGUAUUAACAGUGCCACCAUACAGAAACUGCUUUGUUAGCCACCAAUUGCUUUGAUGGCAACUAGUUAGCAAUUACCUUAUACCUAUAACCAACAUGGGGCUGGUCUGGCUAAUAGCAUUUAACUGCUGCAUGACAGAUUAGUGCCAGCUAGACAGUAUCUAGGAUGCGGCACUGUUUAUUUAUUUAUUUGGUGGAAGGGGGAAUAGCAGGAGUCCUAUUGGCAAACCCCUUCUGCAUAUGGGAAAGCAGAAGUAACCAGUUUCCGAAAGACUAUCCAUGUCCCUUUCUUUAGGUGAUGGCAACGUUUGCAUCACUUUUGGUUACAGACUGAAUUUGAUCAUUACAUCUAUACUUGCAUCAGCUGGUCAGAGAAUGAGAAACUACUUGGAACAGUUAAAACUAAAAUGGACAACACAUCAAAAACCUCACCCUAAGAAACAACCAGAAACGAGUUCCAUGUCUGGAACAGGAGAACCCAUGAAACCAUUCUGCAAAGCCUGGCAGUACUUCCAUUGCAAAAGGCCUAGCACACAGAACACGGAGUCAGGAAAACUCAGUUAUAACCACUUCCCCCAACACCAACUCCUUGUGGCACCCUUUCAUAAAGUAACUUGUUCUGCAUUUCAGUUUCUUCACUUGUAAAGCAUCAGCAGUAGAUAUCACACAGACAGGGAGGCUAAGGCACAGAGAUGACUUUACAGAUCCCUUUCAAUACCAAUGAUUCAUGAAUGGAAACUGAAAACAGCACUUGGGUAGGGUGAAGUCUAUAGGAAAAUUACAGAGAACCGUAACUCUUCAUGCAUUUUCAAGAUGAUAAAAAUUAAAGUUCAAAGGAAAAAUUAACUGAGGGCAGAAGUCCUGCCUUCACGCUGCGUUGCUUAAUAAAUAUCAGCAGCACAGUCUUAUUGUUACAUUAUACUUACAGCUUUUAAUUACAUAUUAAAACCUAGAGCCUACAGCCAUUUUGAUAUGAACACAAAUCUAGUAGUAUCCUAGGCACUAAGCAGAAAAAAACCCUGAAAAUGUUAACCAUAGAUAUGGACACAAACCCAAAAGAAAGAAAUUAUAACUGUAACAGAGAUUUUUUCAUUUUGGGAAGUUCAUAUCACCAGCAACAUUGCUUGUAAACAAAACGUAUCUCUUAUCUACCUACAGUUUUCAGAGACAGCUAGAGCAAGCUCUGUACAGUUAGACCGAGAUCAGGUUUUAGUGCAAAUAGACACUAAUAAAUAAGAGAAAAUGCCAGUCCAAAGAAGAACUCUCUUCACAAAGCAAGAAAUUCCUUGAAGGAAAGUAAGUAUUUAUAGAUGGCUCUGAAACCAAGCUACAACUUAAACUUGAUGUUCCUCACAAACUGUCAAACUCAAAUCCCCAAGCAAAGUGUAGUGUUAGGAUUAAAGUCCCAGAGCAUAGAGAAAACGUCACAAACAUCAUCACGCUCAUCAGAAAGCAGCAGUACUGAAAAAAGGCUCUGACCUUCCUUUACAGUGCUUUGUAUUACAACUUCCUCAUCCUGUUCCAAAUAUAGCACGUUCAGCCAACUUCUGGAGGGCUUAGUCUCAGUGCUGCCACAAUAGGUUACAGGACUGUAAAUCUGUCAGAGUAUUGAUGAAAUGCAGUCAAUGCCUAGAAGGCAUGGCAAAUGUCAGGAGAACUCAGACAAGAACUGUUUUUGCAUAAUCAGACUUUUCUCAUUUGUGCUGGUAUUUUGGAACAUCCCUUGCUUUAUGGCAAUUGCCCUACUUUUCUGCUUUUCUCUAAAUGAAGUCUAGCAGUUUUGUUUCUCCCUCAGACAUCUAGAAAAGAUGUUUGCAUCACUUCCCUUCUUCUGUGGCCAUCAAGAUCUGGUCUGAACUCCAUCACUUGUUUGGUAUGUUGCAUCAGUAGUUUCUCUUGCAGCCUGCUGCUCUUCAGACAAGUCAAUGAUACAAGUGCUUAUUUAUUCAUCUGUUCACCAACUGACCUAGCUGGUAGCAAAAAGGCUCAAACCAGUGGCAUAUUUAUAGGUAAAAAAAGUGGUGGAGUACAUAACCAUUCUGGCAAAAUUCACUCUGGCAAAACUCACCAUUAACUAUGCAUAAACAAAAUGCAGUUAGGCUUAACCCUGAAAGUGAUAUUCACUAUCAGUGCUGAUGCGCUGCUAUGUUUUUCCCGCUGAUAUUUCAAAUUGUUACUUUUUAGGUUAACUUCUGAAAAUAUUUGUCCUUCAACCUCCUCCUCUCAGAGCGAGCUUAUCAAAGCUUUUCCUGCAGCUUUUCUUGCUUUUGAAACAAUCUGAAAGGAGAUUCUGGCAUACAAUUUUAAUCAUUAACAACCAUGAGAUGCAGAACUCUCUUUAAUAAAGCAUUAAACUAUCCCCUGUAAAAAAGCUACACUCAUCAUUUUAUUAAACUGAGUUCCACAGACAGAAUUGUACAGGAGUAGUAAAAAAAUAAAAAAUAAAAAAAAAAAAUAAAAACCCUUAUGUAAGAAUAAGCAUUUCUCUAAGGCUGCAAUUAGGUAUCCCUUUUACAUUCACAGUUUGAACAGUAAGUAGAAAAAAUGAACUCUGCUGUACUAAUUUACAAUUAGUAACAGAAGUAUCUGGUCCAUUUAUAUAGAAAAUAUCUUUAGGAUAUAACUCAGAAUUUAUGCACCAUAAAUUACCCUUUAUUAAUCAUUCCUACCAAAAUCAAAUCAUCACACACUACUGCCCUUACAUUACUCUAAUUAGACACAAAAUAUUUUAGUAUAUGCCACUUGGGCAGUUAUUAAGCAGGAUCAGUUACUCCAAAAUUAAACAGAACAUGAUGCCAAGCUGCCACUGGUAGACCUAUAAAAACUUGUGGUGAGCAAUGCUUACAAAACCAAUUAGAAGGAAGACAGAAGAAGUUAUUUACAGUGCACUGAAAUCUCAUUUCAGUUUGCUCAAUUAAAAAAAAUCGCAAAGUUUAGCUUUAUUUAUUCAGUGGCUGACUUUCUGUGGCAGUCUGUAUGUUGGCAGGAUUUUCAGAACGACUUUCUGUGUCUUGUUUCCGGCUAUCCAAAUAAUUCAUAAUCGCUUCAGCUACAAAUGCACCACUUGCAAGAAAUCCAAAUGUCUGUGAAAGUGAAAGAAACGUGUGAUUUAAAGUCUGUAAACACUAAUGGAAUUCAAACACUGGCUGGGGAAAUUUGCUGAAUUUUUAACAAUCCCAUGUAUUAAGUUUCCAGUCAUCCUUAAAUCAAUGAUUCCAUUUAAGUUAGAAACAGAUCAGAAAUCAUAAUUGCAGAACAUGUAUGCAAGAGUUUUUACAGUUCUCAUUCUUUCAAUCAAGUGUGACUCUUACAAUAUAGCCUGAACAGCCAUUAACAUUAGAAAUAUUAGUUUAAUUGCAAAAAAAUAGUUAUUAAAGUAGUGUGGAAUCAGUGGUAUAGCACAAAAUUUAUCCAAGAGAUACCUAAUGAAGAUGACUAACAUAUGGAAGGUGAAGGGAGAUAUGAUCCGCAGGGCCUAAGCAAGUCCUUACUGUGUGACCAAGUAGGGAUGAAAGGAUAUUUUGUUAGUGACAAAUUUCAGUAUUAGGCAUGGCAAGAUAGUGAUGAGGAGGCUAGGUUUUACUUCUUUACUUGCAAGAAGCUGUUAACACAUGCAUUUACAGUAACUUUUAAAUAAAUUUUAUAUAGCUGAUUUGCCCCAAAGCAAUUAUGUGCUAAAUUUUAAAUCAUGAGAGGUUUUCAUUUUUCCAGUUCCAGAUAAAAACUGAGAUUUUAUACUCAGGCCAUUAGAUUUGAAUAUAUCAAUGUUACAAAAGAUGACUAUACAGAAGUGUGCAACUUUAACUGUAAUAGCUCAUACUGAUUAAGGAAUAGAAUUCCUUUCAUUUCUUUACUUUUCAAACUCAUUUUUUCAUUCAAGAAUGUCAGAUUUGAUCUUUCAAACUCAUACAUUCACAAUUCCAAGGUUAUUCAAAAAAGUACCAUAAAAGUGAGGAAUUAUGACUUCCAUAGCACGCCAAGGCAUCUUCAGUGCCCUGCCUCGAGCCUCUUAGCAUUCUCUGGGAGAUGCAUGCAUAGUCACUCUUUAACACGCUGAGCUUUCCAGCAACAGUGAGGAAUGCCUGCUCUUUGAUAAGUUUCUAGAAGCUCUGAAAUAGCUAGGUCCUCCUGAAACAUCCAUCCCAUGCAACACCUUGAAUUUUGUUCCCUGCCCAGUUUCUUGCCUGCAGAUGUAGUGAGGUUUAAAGGCUACAGAAGUUAAGAGCAAGCUAAAUACCCAAUAAAUGAUAAAGUUUUUAUACUUACACAUGCAGCCUUUUCUAAAUCAGAUCCAGAACUGGUUGCAGCAAGCACUACUGAAGCUAAUAGAAAAAAGCCACCUAUGCCUGGCAUGGCCCAAAAAUUCUGCAAGUGUAAAAAGGGAGUGUCAAAGAAUUGUAGAUAUACUACCUGAUAAAGACAAACAUCAUAACAACAGCCAAGUUAAUCUGCCGGUGAAUUUGUACUUGGGAGCUUUGAUGCUAACAGCAGCUUCAGAAUUUUUUUCUUACUUACCGCAAGAAAGGCCCGGACCCAGAAAUACAGACACCAGAAUUAAACUGUAAAAUGUUAUGGUCUGUGUAACACGGCAAGAUAAAUCUCUUGUUCCUGCAGUUCCUUCUGCUCUGAAGGGACUACAUGAAACUUAACCAUAUCAAAGAAAAUGUAUCCCCUAGCAGGGAAAACACGUCUGCUGUUUCCAGCAGAGCCCAGUUACUUUCCUGAUUCCAUGCCCCAGCUUAAACAUCUCGUAUCUUACAGCAAACGACACAACAAAUUUGGAAAAGUCUGUAAUAUAAAAUGGAUGCUUAGAGUUGGGGGGAGGGUUAUUUAUCAUAUUAUUAUGUAAUAUAAUACAUAGAGAUAUAGUUUAUAUUAUAGUUAUUUGUUACCUACAAGGAACUUCACUUUCCUCUUUAAACACUAAGGAAAAAAUAUUCUUUCAACAUAGUCUUUUUAUUUCACAGUAGUCUUGCAUUUGCAUCAAAUAGUUUGUUUUAAAAAACCUUGUUUAUAAUAUUAAAAAUUAUAUUUUUUCCUUACCACUCUCUCUACUUUAUCUUUCCCAAAUGUUUCAUAUGCAGUAGUACAAUACACACACAGUAUGAGGAGGCUCAAAAGAAGUGCAGUGCAGCUUGUGAAUUCAAAGAAGUAAAGUCCACCACACUUGAUACAAUUCUCCACAAUUUCUUCACAAAUAACAGCCAGAAGAGAGAACAGCUGUAAACAAGUAACAUACCUGAAUUAGAUCAAGUCAUUAGUAUCUUCAGCAGAGAGACAUCUCUGAUAUUAACAUUAAUGAAAACAGCUAUAUGAAAAAUCCUCAAUCUAAAAAGAACCCUGUAUAAUUCUGUGCUAUUUUAUUACAGGCACAAAAAAUAUGUGGCAACACAAUUUACAUUUCCUGUUAAUCAAUAACCUACACUUGGGUAGGCUGAGUGUGCGCCACCAAAGCCAGGCUUGCUGACUGGCUAGUGAAGAUUCUUGAUCCCUGGUUCUGCAACUGCAGUUAGAAACCAGAGUGCAAGACAGCAGGGAGAGCAUGCAUUCCAGUCAGAACUGGCAAAAAUGCUACUUCUUACUACUUACACUUACAUUUAAUCUUAAGUGCUUAAAAAAAAAAAAAAAUCCCAGAAGAUACUGAUCCAAUCAACUACUUCCCUGAAAGUUUACUGCUGAUAUUACCUCCCUUGAAAAACUUCAGAGAAAGUAGAUAUAGCUACUUGCUCGUGUGCAUAUGACUCAGUAACAAAAGAAGCUUGGCUGCAUUUCUAGGAACCACGCUUUAGGUAGUUUUUAUGUUUAAACUAUGUUGGACAGUGUUUAAUCUACGUAGUUUAUGUUCACCUUCCCACAAUAUUUUCUGAGGAAAGGAUGAAAGUGAAUUCCUGAAUAGUCACUAUGGAUCUGCUGUUGUUGUUUUUUUUUUCUUUUUUUUACUAGUUUAUGGUACAUGAAAGCUGUGCUUUAUUUAAAUGUUCCCUCAUUUUGGCCACUUUGCUUGUUUCCUUCAUCCUGUAAAGUUGACACAGGCUAUAGAUCCUUGUAGUGAAGAGUUCACGAAACUACAAAACAAUUAUUGGGAAACAGACCUGAUCAUAAAAUCAAGAAUGACAUAAGGACAAUGAUCCUAUAAGCAUAUAUAUGCAAUAAAAAGGUCAACAGUGCUUCUUAAAAAAAAAAUCAAGCUCUACAAUUCAGAAUUGUCAUUUUCCAGUUACUGACAUGUAGAAGAAACUGCGGAUGCUUUAUCUGGGUCUUGCUCUUGGAAAAUGCCAAGCCUUUGGUUUCAGUUUUCUGUUAGUAUAAAUAAGAAAAACAAUUUGACACGUGGGAACUGUAAGUUCCCCCACUAAGUCAGACCUCAGCAGGACUGUUCAAAACAUCAUGUUUUGAAUAUGCAACUAUAUAAAAGUAAACAGGAGCUCAGAAAGGGAAAGAACACACAAGUUGUGAAACUGAAAUAUUACAGUUAGGCUUCAGCAUACUUCCUUUUUCUCAUGCAGUUGCUGGUAAGGCAUUUCUCAGGAACCCUCACACCUAUUUCAGUCAUUAUAAUGGAUGCCCAAGGAAUAUUUUCAACUCUGAAUUUCCAAUUUUUAAGUGAGGCGUUUUCUUAAUUUCAAAGUAUUUGAUUACAGCUGUGUCCAAUCAUCUUUUAUUUCAUUGGCACAAGGUCAGCUAGAACAUAUGUUUAUAUAUAUAUAUGUAUGUAUGCAUGUAUGUAUAAAAAUUACAGCUCUUUUUAUCAGCAUUGAAAACUGAAUGUUAUAACUUUAAUCAGAGACAAAACAGAACAGAAAAGAAAUAAGGGCCUUUUUGGAAAUAUGCCUGUAACAGAAUUAGAAGCACAGAUAACCAUAACAUGAUCUAAAUGACUGAGAAAAAGCCUCUCAGCUGACUGUACAACUACAUGGGGAAAAAAAAUCAUACUCAAAGAAUAGUUAUUAAAGGUUCAGUAUCAAGUGGAGUCCUAUAUGGGACAUCAACAGCAUGUUCAUAUGCUGCCAUAGUUCUGGUUGGUUUCUUAAUUUGCUUCUUGGUAUCGCAAUAAAAAACAUUAAAGGGAUUACCCUCCUGUCCUACCACCAAAAAAAAAAAAAAAAAAAAAAAAAAAAGGCAUCAUUUUAGUUCCUGUUCAAAGUAGUUCCUGGCUCCCUCCCACCUGGCUGCAGAUGUCAUCCCAGCGCUGGUGGGGAGCUGAGGUUGGGCAACAGCUGGGGCAGGGUGCAGCGCAGAGCAGCCGGGGGCGGCCCUGGGCAUGCAAACGGGCACAGAGGGCGGCACCCUGCUCACCACUUUCGGCAGGUAUAUCCACACCUCGCCAGACGUGUGCGCUGUUUGCCAGCCUUGUGUGCUGUAAAGGGGAGAGCAUCACUGAAGCUGCAUAGGGAUUUUAUCAUCUUUUGGUAUUAUUAGUGUUUUAGAAGAUAUUUGAUCACUUCUAUAACGAAGACACCAACAUUUUCUGAGUGCAGCAGCCUGUUCAGCGCUAGUGCCUGCACAAGUGAUUAUCAGUGUGCAGUCCUAAUAACUUCUAAUAAUCACCGCUUUAAUCACAAGGCUAAUACAUGGUAAUACCCAUCACAAUCACAGAGAAUUCCAAAAAUCAUCUCCUUCCUAAAAUGGGAACAUUUCUCAUGUUGGAGGUACUGAGGCUUUACCUUCAGUAACUUCUGAGGUUUCUUUAACGUGUUUUGAUGAAGAAAUAACUCAAAAGAUCUGUGCACUUGUGCAAACAAAAAGGGAAAAAAAUCCUUUUGGAAAUUACAAGAGUGAGCAGCUGUUAAGUUCAUUCGUUUUUUCCUCAUGUUGAAGGACAGGUUCAGGCCAUAAAAUGCUAACUCUUCAGGAGCAUCUCAAGCAGCUGUCCAUUGUUAAGGACAGGCCUUAAUCGUACUCCUUUUUCCUACCUUUUUAAAUGAUGCCUCUGUCCAGGGAAGCAACUGCAGACUUUAGAACAUCAGUAAAUUUGCCUACAUAAAUGAAGUAUUUGCUUGGGAGCAAUAUUGAACAGAUCAUAUUUUAACAGUCUGUAACAAAUAAAGUAAAAGGUUAUGCCCUGUAUUUGUUUGAA